UAACGUUCCCCAGGAGCCGUUGCCUGUACCUGUCGCUCGGUUCCCAGGGCGCCAGCCUCGGGUGGAAGGCUGGGUCACCCGCGCCGGGCAAUACGCGUCCGUACAGCCUGUUUCCAGCAGUUCUGCGGCAGACCAGACUCCUGGCUUCUGAGUCCUUUACCUCGCUUGGCCUUGGCACCAACAGUGCGACUUUGCGGCUGUCACUUCGCCCCCUCCUCGGCCGAAGGUUGAACUUGAGCCCUUUUCUACUGGUCUUUUACUUUGCAGGCUCCUGGUCUUCUGAAAAAUAUGCAGGGUCUUGCUAUGUACCUAGACUGGCCUAGACUUGAGAUCUUCCUUCCUCCCCCUCCCAAGUGCUGAGAUUACGGAUAUGUACCACCACACCAUGCCUGGCUGCAUUUGUUCUUUAAGCA